rnacentral:rRNA from 1 species
UACAGAGGGUGCAAGCGUUAAUCGGAAUUAUUGGGCGUAAAGAGCUCGUAGGCGGUUUGUCGCGUCUGCUGUGAAAACUCGAGGCUCAACCUCGGGCUUGCAGUGGGUACGGGCAGACUAGAGUGCGGUAGGGGAGACUGGAAUUCCUGGUGUAGCGGUGGAAUGCGCAGAUAUCAGGAGGAACACCGAUGGCGAAGGCAGGUCUCUGGGCCGCAACU